rnacentral:lncRNA from 1 species
ACGUAUCUCGGCCAUGGGCAUCCCAAUUGAUAUGCUGGAAAAUUGGCUUCCCAUUCUCCUCGAUGUACUGCAUAUAUGCAGUGCAUUAUGCAGUACAGAUGAUGCAGCUAUAUAGCUGCAUAGAUGAUAUCAUCUGCUCCAUCUCCAGGUGCAUCGGCUCACAGUCUUUGAUAACAGCCAGACCACGGAGCCUCCUUCUCCUUCCAACUUAUAUAGUUCCAGGAUGAAUACCUGUCAGAGUCAAAACAUCCUUCUGAUGGAGGAAGUAUAAGUGCUCCUCAAUGAUGGACAGUGGAGACCUGAGAGUUGACCAGGACCUGGGAUUGACCUGCAUGCGGACCAGGAAUAGAGUUGAGCCACCAUUGAAUAGGUAGAUUCUGUUGAUGCCAGGAGGUGGGUGCUGAACCUGAGCAAUCCACUCAGAAGUCAGCUAGGGUGACUGGAUGAGGGUGCCCUGGAGUACCGG